rnacentral:lncRNA from 1 species
UGAAGCAGGUCUUACUAGGUUUAUUGCAAUGGGCUGAAAUCAAGAUGCUGGCAAAACUGGGCUCCAUCUGGAAUCUCUGGAGUUGUUCCAUCUCACACAAGCCACCUGCAUUCUUGGCUCCUUGUCCCUUACCAUCUUCAGAGCCAGGCAUGUGGCAUCCUGGAAAUCUCUAAAUUUUAUAGUGACAUUCUUCCAUCUUUCAUUUUAAAGAUUCACACUAUUAUAUUGAACCCAUCCCUUUACUUCAGGAUAUAUUUCCUAUCUGUGAUCAUUAAACACAACUGAAAAAUCGUUCUGAGCAUACAAAGGGCCUCAUGAGCACCUUUGAGCAUGAGUGACCUUUGAAGGCCACUAUCCUUUACACCACUGGUAAAAGUAGAGAGUAUGGAAAAUGUGUCUCCCCCAUACUGUAAAAUAUGUUAUAACUUUGAAAACCACUGAAAAUAAGUUCUUUUAAUGUCAUAAUGCAUUGCUGAAGUGCAAGUUUUCAAAGUAAUAGAAUUAAAAUUUAUAUAAGAAAUUGAAAGGAUAAAUGCUGAUAACUGUUUUUCUUUCUACUCCAUUUCUACACAGAAAGCACAUGUUAUUUUUUAAUUUUACAUGGCUUUAUAAACAAACAUUGAGAAUUUUGAAAGGAUUUACAAGGAGAUAAAAAGUCUGAGAGGUGGGAUAUUACAGAGUGUCAUUUUGUCAGUAAACUUAAUGGGUUCAGACCUUCAUGAACGCAAAGCUAAAGUAAGUCCAGCUAGGAAAUAAGAAAGCAAAGAAAUAUUUAUUACAUGCAGCAGGUAAAGGUAGCAUGAGAUUUAUCUCUAUAUCAAUGUCCUUCCUUAUGUUGUUUUCAGAUAAUCUCUACAUAUACAUACACAUAUACUAUAUAUACAUAUAUGUCAUAUACAUAUUUUAGCUGAGUACAUUCUUAAGCAUGUUCAAUUCGAAAUGUACACUACUGUGCGUGCAUCAUUAGGGUCAUAGUUCAAGAAGGAAAGGUGAUGUACUGGCAAAUUUCUAGGAACAAUUUUUAUUGUACUAAAUGUGAAACAAGGGAGUAUCUUAGGAAAUCUUUUUCCUUACAAGAUUUUAGCUUCAUCUAAAGGAUAGGAUAAUUGAAAGAUACAUUAACAUAGAAAUUUCCCUCUAAACAUACUUCCCUUGCUUGUGUGUCAACAUUAAUUUGAACGUUUACUCAAAAACUGGAAUCAGGAGAUAGCUGUUCUAUCAUGUUGAUUGAAUCAACUUUCACAAGCCAGGGUAUGUAACACCUGAAAUAUACACAGAUGAAUAUGUAGGGGACCAAAAUAUAGCAUAUAGACAGUAAAUUAUGAUUAAUCGUUAGAAAAUUAAUCCUGGCAUGUGCUAAGACAUGGAUGAAUGACAAAAAACUUAAUGUUAAGUGAAACAAGAUAAGAGCCACAGAGACAGUGAUUAAAUUAGAUAUCUAACAGUAUAUUUCAUAUACAAAC